rnacentral:rRNA from 1 species
AUGAAGGUCUUCGGAUCGUAAAGUUCUGUUGUGAGGGAAGAACAAGGANCGUGCGAAUAGRRCGGUCCCUUGACGGUACCUCACGAGGAAGCCCCGGCUAACUACGUGCCAGCAGCCGCGGUAAUACGUAGGGGGCAAGCGUUGUCCGGAAUUAUUGGGCGUAAAGSGCACGCAGGCGGUUCCUUAAGUCUGAUGUGAAAGCCCGUGGCUCAACCACGGAGGGCCAUUGGAAACUGGGGAACUUGAGAACUGAAGAGGAGAGUGGAAUUCCACGUGUAGCGGUGAAAUGCGUAGAUAUGUGGAGGAACACCAGUGGCGAAGGCGACUCUCUGGUCKGUUUCUGACGCUGAGGUGCGAAAGCGUGGGUAGCAAACAGGAUUAGAUACCCUGGUAGUCCACGCCGUAAACGAUGAGUGCUAGGUGUUAGGGGGCUUCCACCCCUUAGUGCUGAAGUUAACGCAUUAAGCACUCCGCCUGGGGAGUACGGCCGCAAGGCUGAAACUCAG